rnacentral:lncRNA from 1 species
AGGGUUUGUGCACAUAGUUGUGACCGUGAGUCAUCGAGCGGGUUGGCCGGUCACUGUGAUCGGGAGCCUUCGGGCCGAUCACUGUGUUUGAGAAGGAGGCCUACUUCUCAACACAAGGUUACAUGAUGCGUAGUUAUGGUACAUACAUGUUAAUUGUGCAGACGUAUAUGAUAUUAUGAUGAUAUAUAUAUAGAAGUUUUACAGUUUUGGCGUGCACAGGUUAUUUAAAUAAAACUCCUGUGUGAUGCUUGAGAUGGCAAGUUCAAUAUAUAGCUCUAAGAGCAAACUUUAAAGUUAUUUCGGCAUGUGACCAUUGAGUACCUUUUUAGUACUCAGCCCUGCAUAUGUUUCUAAAUGUGCAGGUUAAGCUGUGAUGCAGAUGGAGGCGAGCAGAGCAAAGCUUUUGAAGUAUAAGUAUUAAAUUAGGCUCAGGAUUCCAUGUCUUCAUACAUGUAAUCCACUUAAGUAUUUCCGCUGCAACACUUAGUGUAUUUUACUUUAUUGAUGUGUUGUAUAGAUUUUAAAUCAAUAGCUUUGAGAAUUAUGUCACUGGAAAAUUUGACAACUUGUCGUUGUGUUAUUGUGAGUUGUCUGCCUAAGCAGUUUAGAAAAGAUUGCUCAUGAGUUUUAAAAGUGAUUUGCUCAUGAUUAUUCAAUACUAAAGUAAUUCAUCGUUAAAGAGGGUUCAUUAUUAUUAUUUAAAUCUCUUUCCUUUUUCAUUUUCUUUCUCCUUUUUCCCAGUCACACCUUUCCCCGGCUUAACUAUACACUAUAUUAGGCCGGGCUGUGACAAAGUGGUAUCAGAGCAGGUCGUUUGCUCUGAGCCUAAAUAUUCCUUUGAGUCUAGUCUAAAUUUGAAUCUUUGGACUAGUGUGAGUAAUAUAGUAAAAGCUCUGCUCUCCAUCUCAUCCAACUUAGCCAGGUACGGAUUUUCAGAGUUUUGAAGUAGCAUGUUACAUUUUUAAACAAGUUUUAGAUAUGAGUUGCAGUUUUGCAAGUAUUAGUAUGAUGGAAACUUAUAUAUUUUAAAAUGAGCAUGGACAACAUGAGUUAUUUAUGAGUAUCCUCUGCCUAUACGAACUUUUGAGAUUUGAAUGGAUAAAAGUGUUAUUCAUAUUUUAAUAUUUGUGUUUUGAUAUGUGGAUGGAGAUAUAGAAAGUUUGAUGAUACAAUAAUGACGUAUAUCAGUCGCGAUGUAACCUAGUACUAGUAGUGAUGUUAUACUAGUUACGGCACCACAAUUAAUACUAAGAGCUUUUUGCAACAUAUAUUCCUAUCUUUCGUAUGAGAACUCAUUGAGGCAAAUUUUCUCAUGAUAUGAAGUGAUCAAAGUGGUCAUNUGAGAAGGAGGCCUACUUCUCAACACUCAGAGUUAUUAUGAUGCGUAGAUAUGGUACAUACAUGUUAAUUGUCAGCAGACGUAUAUGAUGUUAUGAUGAUUAUAGAGAAGUUUUUAUAGUUUUGCAUGCACAGGUUAUUUAAAUAAAACCCAUGUGUGAUGCUUGAGAUGGCAAGUUCAAUAUAUAGCUCUAAGAGCAAGUUUAAAGUUAUUUCGGCAUGUAACCACUGAGUGCUAUUUGAUACUCAGCCCUGCGUAUGUUUCUAAAUAUGCAGGUUAAGCUGUGAUGUAGAUGGAAGCAAGCAGAGCAAAGCCUUCAGAGUAUAUUAAAUUAGGCUCAGGAUUCCAUGUCUUCAUACAUGUAAUCCACAUGAAUUAUCCGCUGCAACACUCAGUCUAUUCUACUUUGUUGAUGUGUUGUAACAAUAUUUUUAAAUCAAUAGCUUUGAGUAAUUAUAAUCACUUGAAAGUUAGACAACUUGUCGUUGUGUAUUGUAAGUUGUCUACUCAUGAGUUUUAAAAGUGAUUGCUUAUGAUUAUCCAAUAUUAAAGUAAUUCAUCGUUAAAGAGGGUUCAUUAUUAUUAUUUAAAUCUCUUUUAUUUUUCAUUUUCUUUUUCCCUUCCCCAGUCACACAUUUUCCCUGACUUAACUGUUGUUAGUUUAGGUCGGGCUGUGACAAAGUGGUAUCAGAGCAGGUUGUUUGCUCUGAGCCUAAACAUUCCCUUGAGUCUAGUCUAAAUUUGAAUCUUUAGACUAAAAUGAGUAAUAUAGUAAAAGCUCUGCGCUCCAUCUCAUCCAGCAUAGCCAGGUACUGAUUUUCAGAGUUUUAAAGAAUCAAUUUACAGUUUGAAAGAGUUUGAGUUGUUAAUAUUGCAACUUUGCAAGAAAGUUAUUAAUAUUGCAAUUUUGCAAGAAUCUAGUAUUUGGAGAAGUUUACAUGUUUACAAGUGAGUGAAUAUGAAUAACAUGAGUUAUUUAUGAGUAUCCUCUGCCUAUACGAACUUUUGAGAUUUGAAUGAAUAAAAGUGUUAUUCAUAUAUUAAUAUUUAUAUUUUGAUAUGUGGAUGGAGAUAUAUAUAGACAGAUUGAUGAUACAAUAAUGAUGUAUAUCAGUCGCGAUGUAACCUAGUACUAGUAGUGAUGUUAUACAGUUAGGGCACCACAAUCAGUACUAAGAGCUUUUUGCAACAUAUAUUCCUAUCUUUCGUAUGAGAACUCAUUGAGGCAAAUUUUCUCAUGAUAUGAAGUGAUCAGAGUGGUCAUUUACUAGGUUAUUAUUGAGCUUUACUUGCUUAGAUGAUUGAAUUUUUGUGUAUGAGUUUUAUAACUUAGUUGGAUUAUAGUUAAGUAGGAGUUUGACUUUACUGAUGGGAUGAAAGCUCAAUUUUGGAGAUUUUGUGUAUUUACUCGGCAUGAUGUCUCAAAGAAGCAGUGGAAAUCUGCCAUCCGCCAUGUGAAUAAUUUAGAGAACUACUCGUCCCCAUCAACUUGAAAGAAGAAUAGCAGAAGUUUUUCAUCGUCAAGAUCCCUUUAUUGCGAGUUAAGCGGUAGAGUUUCAAAGAGGCAGUAGAGUUUUACGAGUUUCGCUUCCUUAGAUGCAAUGAUCAAGAGCGCCUUCUUGUAUGUUAUUUCAACUACAAGGAUCGACUUAUNAGUAGUGGGAGACGAAGCAGAAGAUAUAUACCCUCGAGCGAUUAGAGAAUCUUAUUUGGGGCCAGUUCACAGAAGUUUUUAUGAAGAAUAUGUUUCCAGAAGCCGUCGUCAGCAAAAAGGAGACGUAAUUUAACAAUUUAAAGCAAUAGAAGAAGACAGUAGCUGAAUGUGAUCAAGGGUUUUGUGAUAUAGCUGGAUAUAUGCCUUAUAAGGCUGACACAUAUAUUAGUUGUAACUUUUGAUAGAGUUUUGAUGUAGUGCCUUUGCUUGUUGGCAAACCAAAUAUUCUUUCAGCUAUUGCAAGCCAAACAUUCCUUCAACUAAUGAAGAUAUCUCUUUUCCAUUUCAUCCCUCCCACCAAAAGUUUUGUUUGAAAUCUUGAUAUAAUUUAGUGCUUCUGUGGUGGGCAGUAUAUAGCGUAUCAUGAGCUUUACUCGUGAUUUUAUUUCUCAACUGUUCAGUAUUGGGUACACAACUUUUCUCAAACAUGAUAGCAGUACCCCUAGCUUUUUGGCAAGUAUUGACCCCUUCUAUCAAAAUCCUUACCCAUAAUUUUUCUCCUUUUUAUUUUCCCCAUGUACUUUAACAAUUCUUCUUCUCAAAUCAAAAAUCAUUGUUAACAUUGCAAUUACAGCUUCUCUUGUUUGCUGUGGUAGAACCAUUUGUAAAUCCAACUUUCAAAUCCUUGAUGAGAAUUUUUCUUCAUGGGUAAGGAGAAAUCCUUAGUAAACUUGAGUUUUUCUACUCAAGGCAUCCACUAUUAUAUUGGCUUUGCGUGGGUGAUAAUUUAUUCUACAAUCAUAGUCCCUUACUAAUUCGAGCUAUAUUCCUUGUCUCACACUUAGAUCUUUUGCUCGAAUAAGUAUUUUAAACUUUUAUGAGGUGUAUCAAUUCCACAUCUCGUUUCAGAAUACCAUUGUUGCUAGUUCCAAGUUAUGUUGAGCAAUUCAGUUCUUGUGGUCUAUGUUCUCAUGACCCAAUAACAAUAACUCUUUCACUUUGCAACAAUGCACAACCAAGUCCAUCUUUGAUACACAGGACCAAUUUUAUAUGGUCUUUCAACUUUGAGAAUUCGGCCAUAUUUUAAAAUAGCCUUUCAUCCAACAACAGAUGAGCAAUUUGAGAGAAAUCUUUAAACCUUAGAAGAUGUGACAUAGACUAUUGUACUAGAGCGAAGAAGUGGCGACCUUAGCAGUAGGGACACUGGCGAUCGUAAGAAAUUCUGGGUUCCAAAACUCUCUUUCCAAAAAUGAUUUUUCAGAAGGAGCGAAUUCCCCGCAAACAAGGCAGGAGACGACUAUCUCAAGGUGCAUCACGCGUACUCAGAAGCCGCAUUAUGCACUAGAUUGAAGGAUGAAUUGGGAAAACCUUUUGCUAGUAAUUGAAUUGGCCUACAAUUAUAGCUUUCGGGCAAUAAUUGAUAUGACACCAUAUGGAGCUUAUUGUGGAAAGAAAUAUUGAUCUCCACUCUAUUGACAUGAGGUAAGUGAAAGAAAAGUAACAGGACCUGAUGCGCUUGAAGAAAUGAUUACGCUUAUCCGACAAAUUCAACAACUGCUCAACGAACCUCAAGAGCGACAGAAAUUUUUUUUUGUAGAUACUCGUUGAUUUGAUUUGAAAUUUUUGAAAUAGGGGAUGAAGUUUUUCUCAGUGUUCCGCAUUCUAAGAAUGCACAAAUUCGAUGUGAAAGAGAAGUAUCUAGCAUUAUUCUCUGACGUAGUCAAAUUUCGAGGACGAAAUUUCUUUAAGGGGGAGAGGAUGUAACACCCAGCAUUUUCACUACAGUAUAUAUAUUAUUUUCUAUUAUCUAAAAGAAGAAAGAGAAGUAGAAUCACUGAGAUGAGAUGAGAUAUUAUUAUAAUACCUUGAGCUUUUAAUUCAAUGAUUGCAUAAUUUGAAUAAUUAAGUAUUCUUGCUUUCUUUAUUAUUUUCAUUCUUGGAAGCAAGUUUAUAAUUCCUAGUUAAAGGGAUUAUUUUAUUAUUUUUCAGAGAUGAGAUUGGUGAUAAAUACGAAAUAUUAUUAGUCGACUUAUUGCUCGGCUAAUUGAAGUGACGGAUGUUAUUUAAUUAUUUAUCUAUGAGCUUUCUUUUUUUUUAAUAGUGAUAGUUUGAGGAAAUUUAGUAUAUCGUGGACGGAGGGAGUAUUAUAUUUCAUUGGGUGUAUAAUAAUUUAUUAAUUUAGAUAGCUAUCAAAUACUACUUGAGCUUGGAGCACAAGUUUCGUGAGUCAUAUUAGUGUAGAGAAUUGCUUUUCUAAUUUAUUCUUAUUUUUAUUUGAUCUAAUUUGAGGGCCACAAAAUAAGGCUUAUAGGAAAAGCCAAGUUUUACCUCUUAUUAUUUAUUUCUUCUACAAACCUCAAAUGGGCCGAUCAAGUAAGGGAAAUGAGGUUUGAAUUAUAUUGCUCAUUUCUAUAAUUGGAUUUAAAUUUUUAAUGUUUGAGAUAAGCAUUUAUUUAUUGUAAAGUGUAUAUAUUAGUUUGAGGAGAUUCAUUUCCUUUUCUUCUCCCCAAAACAGUCGACCUUCUCCCCUCUCUCUUUAUGGAACCUCAGUUUAGUUUGCUUUCAACCUUCAAGAAGAUUCAGCCGCCACCUCUGCUCCGACCGCCGUCGGCUGCCGUCGAGUCCAAGUCCGACGUCUCGUCUGUUCUUCCCUGGUGCCCCUCGCACUACUCUCAUCUUCUCUCAAUUUAGCGAAGAACCCAAAUGAGAAGCCCUAAUUUCAAAAUCCGAAAUCGCCGUCACCCGAGCCCGAAAUUCGGCAAUACAGCAUCCUCCUCUUCGACGUGGUCGAAGUUCUCGCACCGGAAGUCCUCGCCGUUCCCCCUUCUUUUCCGGUGUGGAGCCCUAAUUCUUAGUAGAAGGAAAUUACUACUGUCGCGACUGGAAGGCCAACGAACGGCUGAGCUUCGCCCAUCUCUGCCUUGAAUCCAUGCUCGAGAAGGAGAGAAAGGAAAACGAGCCCUAAUUCUUUUCUACUCCCGCCGUCAUGGUUCGGCUGCCACCUCCGCCGUCUGUGGAAGACCGGCGAUUCAGCGGCGCCGCUCCAUUCACAACGCCGCUACUGCUGCUACACGAUCCCCUCCGAGGCAGCAAGCGCUGCUGUCAUCAUCGUCGUCUUGGCUCGACUGAACAGGGUCGCGUCCCUCGUCGUCGAAAAGUUAGUAUUCUACUUGUUAUUGUAGAAAGUGUUUGAUGUUGCUUGUGAUUUCUGAGUUCAUGCCAUAAUAAUCGAGGCAUAGGUGACUUCUCUCUAAGAUUCCUAAAGUGAGAUAUUAAACAAAAUGUUAUAUGUUUCUAAGUUAGUAAUUACUUUAAAUUAAGUAAAAUGAUGGCAGGAAUCAUAGCUUCAGCCCAAAGCUUCGAUUUUUGACCCUCCCUCAAGAACCCCAGAAUUUCAUCUUCUUUAUAUUUGUAUCAAUUGACUAUGUAUACAUGUCUAUAUGUAUGUGAAGAAUUGAUUGGGAUUUAUUUGGGUAUUUAUUCACAAGAAAACAUGAUUCCCUAAUAGUUUAGUUUAAGUGGAUUUGGGAGUUCUUGGAAUAAGCUAGCUACAUGUUUGAUGCUUGUGUAAUUGUACUCCUUGAAUUGUAAAAUGAGAUUAUAUGACAAUAGUUGGAGGAUAUCAAGCAUGCUACUAUAUGUUGAUGUGUUGAACAUGAAUUACGUUUAAGCUAAAGCAUGCUAAUGUGUAGUAAGAUGAUGUAUUUGAGUUACUAUAGCUUUUAUUUGAUAAAAAUAUGAGUUAUAUGUUGAGUUGAGAUGAAGAAGGUAUUGCUGUUGGUUUUGCUGUACAGGACAGUACCUUGUAAGGUAUUUUCGGGAGUGUUCCUGUGAUCCAAAUAACUUGAAUUUUACUGUAUAACUUCAUCAUGAGUAGUAGAUCUCUGCAAAUUUCAGCUAAAUCCGAGACCAAUAGACAUGUCAAACUAUUUUCUGAAAUGUACUGCGUGAAGCAGCGUAGUUCAGUGGCAGAUUCUACCUUUGGUGAUAUAACUUCUUAUACACUUGAGAUAUUGUAUUUUUGUAAAUUUCUAAGAAAUAUAGACGUUAAUAGCUUUCUAAAAAGGUAAAGCUCGUAUUUUUCCUUGAAGCGAUUGAUUUUAUAUGAUUUUCCAAAGUUAGGAUUCAAAUGUGUAUGUGUCUUGAUUAAACUUGUGAUUGGUAGUUAAUUGAGAUCCUACACUACUAAACUUGAAUUGAGGUUUUAUUGUUCUAACUACCUAUUGAGGAUUAUUGAUUACUAAAGCUUGUUAAUAUGAUAGUUGAUGGACAUAAUUAUGUUUAUAUGAUUAAUUACUUUGGGAUUUUGUGUUUUACAUGUAUGGUUAGUUGUAAACUGAUCUCUAUGGAAUGGAUUUGUUUACUUCUAAACUUUCUCAAGUAGAGGAAUUCCUAUAAGAUAGGAAUAUUAGUUUAUACUUUCUUAAAGUUCAUAAGAGUUAGUAUAUUGGUUAGUUUAGUUGAUUCAACCCUAGCUCUGCAGAAGAUUAAAAGUUUAUUGGGAUGUUAUUUAUAGCUAAUUCUUCUUAUCUAGUUAUCCAAUCUUAUUUUAGAAUCUUGCUAUUAUGAAGGUGACAGUAGCAAUGAUAGAUAAGUGAGCAAGAGUUUCUACAUCGUUAAGCGUAUCAGGUGGGCUUUCUAAACUCAUAAUUUGAAGUGCGCACUAUUUAAUUAUGUUAUUAUAUGAAUGAAGUUAUAUUAAAGUUAUUGACUUGCCAAAACUUUUAUGAGCUUGUAUGUUACCAUCUACGAGAGAUAGACGAUAUCGGCCCUAUGCUGAAGCGAGAUGUCAGUAAGGGUUUGUGCACAUAGUUGUGACCGUGAGUCAUCGAGCGGGUUGGCCGGUCACUGUGAUCGGGAGCCUUCGGGCCGAUCACUGUGUUUGAGAAGGAGGCCUACUUCUCAACACAAGGUUACAUGAUGCGUAGUUAUGGUACAUACAUGUUAAUUGUCUGCAGACGUAUAUGAUAUUAUGAUGAUAUAUAUAUAGAAGUUUUACAGUUUUGGCGUGCACAGGUUAUUUAAAUAAAACUCCUGUGUGAUGCUUGAGAUGGCAAGUUCAAUAUAUAGCUCUAAGAGCAAACUUUAAAGUUAUUUCGGCAUGUGACCAUUGAGUACCUUUUUAGUACUCAGCCCUGCAUAUGUUUCUAAAUGUGCAGGUUAAGCUGUGAUGCAGAUGGAGGCGAGCAGAGCAAAGCUUUUGAAGUAUAAGUAUUAAAUUAGGCUCAGGAUUUCAUGUCUUCAUACAUGUAAUCCACUUAAGUUAUUCCGCUGCAACACUUAGUGUAUUUUACUUUAUUGAUGUGUUGUACAGAUUUUAAACCAAUAGCUUCGAAAAUUAUGUCACUUGAAAAUUUGACAACUUGUCGUUAUGUAUUGUGAGUUGUCUGCUUUGAGUUUUAGAAAAGAUUGUUUAUGAUUACCAAAUAUUUAGGUAAAUUAUUGUUUAAGCAAGAUGAUUAUUUUUAUUGAAACCUCUUUUAUUUUCCAUUUUCUUUUUCCAUUUCCCCAGUCACAUUUUCCCCGGCUUAACUGUUGUUAGCUUAGGUCGGGCUGUGACAGAGUGGUAUCAGAGCAG